AACUGAAAGACAUGGCAGGACAUAUGGGACAAAAUGUGACAGCCUGAGCCACUGAAAUAGAAAUGGGCAGUAAUAUAAAAAUCCAGCCUAGCCCUUGGAUGUUCCAUGACAUUUGUCACAAUGUGGAAAUACUAGGAUCACCACUUUGGCUUUUCCUGAUUUGAUGGACGACCAGAGGACUUGAAGCUUUCCUGCCCUUUAGUUGUUGAAGGGAUGGUAGUGUUAAAUUGUUAACAAAGAGAUCUUUUUACCAAACUGUUUGUCAGAUAUUUGAGUUUAAUUUGUGUUAAACAGAAACAGAACCCACCCUUCCCUCCUAAAAAGAGCUUUAAAUAAACAUUCUGACUAAAAAUA